GGAAAGAAUAUCGUAAGCGAUGUGUAAUGUGCCUAAAUUUUUUAUUACUGUUUAUGCAAUAUUAUGUAUAUGCAAUGUACACGUAUAUGCACGGGGAUUCGAUGUUAUUAAAUUGUUAUGACACUGGUUUAAUUUGUAUCGCAAAUAGAAAAUCGAAAUAAAAACUGCCUCCGUUCUGAACAUUCAUUCCCUUGUUUUGUCGUUGGAUGAGGUUCGGGUUGGGAAAGAGGAACAUAAAAUUCUGGAUAAUCGUUAGCGUUAAAUUCAAUUGAAUUAUUAUACGCAAAAUGCCUUGUCCUCUUUUGAUGGAAUCUAUUAAUCUAGAACUGGAAGGACAAGAACAAGAGCUUAAGAAUAUUACUUUAUAUCAACCGUACGAAGUUGAGCAGAUUUUAUUACCAGACAAUGCAAAUUGCUUGGCUGUACAAGCUUUUCUAAAGAUGGUCGGCAUUGAAUUUCAAAUAGAACCGAGGAGCAACGCAGAGUACAUGUCUCCUUCUGGUCGAGUUCCAUUUAUUAAGUGCGAUCCAUAUUUAGUAUCUGAAUUCGACAACAUUGUGCAAUUCCUAGGAAACAAGGGAAAAAGUUUAUCUGAGCAUCUUUCCACAAACAGUAAGGCUGAAAUGAGAGCCUACAUAUCCUUAGUGAACAAUAUUUUUGUAAACGCCGAAUUGUAUAUUUGUUGGGUCGAUAAAAAUACUUUAAACGAAGUAACGAAACCUAGACAUGGGAGCGUAUAUCCAUGGCCGCUGAAUCAUUUCCUAAAUUGGCAAAAGAGAAAAGAGGUCAUAAAGAAGCUCAGUGUACUCGGCUGGUACAAUAAAACGAUAGACCAAGUAUGCGACGAAGUUAAACAAUGCUGUACAGCGUUGUCAGCAAAAUUGGAAAACAACGAAUACUUCUCCGGAGAAAAGACACCUAACGAAUUGGAUGCCUUAGUUUUCGGGCACAUUUUUACAAUAAUUACGACACCGCUGCCAGGUAACAAACUAGCAACUAUCGUCCAAGGCUACCCACUGCUCACGCGUCUCUGCAAACGCAUUGAAAAUAGGUAUUUCCGGCGUUUGGAAGAUUAGGUGGAAUUAAACUCGGGCUCCAGAUACGUCGAGAUCAGGUACCCCGACCGUACCGAGAUGAAGUUCCUGUGCUACGCGCGUAAGCUUAGCAAUGAUCACAGUAAGAAACUGCAACCGAAGAUGUGUAGCAUUUUAUAAAUAGUACUUUUUCUAUUUCGAUCAAUCAACCAUAAUGGAAAAAGCUAUUUUUGAAAUGUUCCAAAGAAAUUCGAUGCAUAGUAUCAAAAGCAUAAUAAUAAUAAUUUGAAACGUAACAAUGAACGCAUCUGAGGCCCGAGUUCGAAAAUAUAAUGAAUACAUUUUUUCUCCUCAAGCAAUAGAGAUGAAAUAAAGUAACGAAAUGUUGGAGACGAGAAUUUAAUAACAGGACUGUUUGAAGAUUUCCAAAUCUAUGUAUGUUCUUGGAUAACGACAGGAACGCGAUACUCGAUAAAAGGUAUCUGUACAUUGAAAGCCCGAUUGAUCGGUCAUGCUCUGAGAAUUAUUAUCGACGUACCUGUUGUUACUAUUCGUAUUUAAUUGGUUCAUCGAAUGGAUUGAUAAUAACAAUUAUUCUGUAGUUAACUACUUCCAGUUGACAAUAAGUACUCUCCCUUCUGUUUUUUUAAGUUAUAGAUGUAAUGCGUGUCUACUUUUGUAUUAUAAACCGCUAAUCUAUUUUCUCUCGAUUGAAAGUUUUAUACUUUUAUUAACUUAUACUUUUCUUUAAAGAAUAUAUUUAUGAGCGUUAAGGAGCAUUAACUUUUAAAUGCAUAAUUUAUAGAACGUGUGUACCUUUGAUAUGACUCAACAAAUUUUAUUACUCUUCUAGUCAGUUUCGUGUAGAAUUGUGUAUUUAAUGAAUAAUGUAUAUAUAAUAAAACAAUGUUGGAUAAUAAUAUUUAAACGUUAGUUAUUAGUUUGAUGUUUAAAACAUCUUUCAUGAUUUCACCUUUUAAACUAAACGUUACAAGAUGAAUAUUUAACAGCAACACGUUCUGGGUAUUCAUAUAUUACAUCCUUUACAUAUUUCUUGUCUCCAACGUUUACUUACGUCGAAUGACAUUUGUAACAAAUUAAAAAUUUUCUAUUCAAAUUCGUAAUCUAUAUAGCAUGUAAAUUCUGAUUUAUUUCGAAGCAUUGUGUCGUAGUUUUACUUAUAGAACUGCUUUUUUAUAGACAGUGUUUCUGUGCCCUUACUAUGACAAUCUGUGUCCGUCGAACAAAUUUACUGUUAAAUGGCAAAUAAAAUGAAUUAAUCACAUAAA